AGAUGACAAGGACAAGCUUGCUCAGCACAAGUGAGCACUGUGACGACAAUGAAGACAUCUUUUCUUCAUAUUAUAGCUCUUGCAUCAGUACCUUCAUGACAUCUAGUAAAGGACACUCCAUAAGAAGUUUACUAGAAAUAAGACUGUUUCUGUAGAAUCAUGCACAUGGUAUCUGCUGAGGGAUAAACUCAGAAAUGGACAUGGAACAAGAAAUAUUCAAGCUGGAUAUAAAGACAAAGCUUCUCAUUUUAAGGACAAUGAGAUAUCAGAAAAGUCUGCCCAGACAAGUCAUGCAGUUUCUUUCCCAGUAGGUUCUCAAGAUCAGAGAGGAUAAAAAUGAAAACCUGGCCCACUUCUCACAGCUGACCCUGGUUUGUACAGGAGGUAGACUAUGUAUUUCCAUGAAGUCUCUUCCAAGCUCAUGUGAUGGUACAAAUAAGGACCUUUAAACCCAGGGACUAUCCUCAGAGUUCCUUUUCUUGCCCCUGUAUAUGGCCCAUGAGGAUAAAGUGUUGCCUUCAUCUUAAAUUAUUAAUUAUUUUUAAUUCCCACUCUGUGGGAAAUCUCUGUAUGUUUCUGUUGGAGGCUGAUGCGCAUGAUGAUUUGCAAGUACCUGUAUAGGACUGUAUCCAAGCAUGAUGCUGGUACAGAAGCUUUUAAAUAUCUCUGCAUUUCAUACAGUCACCUGUAAAUAUGAAAAAAAAAAAAAAAUCCUUUCCUUCAGUUUUACACACUGACAUUCUUCACACAGGCUGUUUUCCCUUACUUUUUUGUAUAGCAUAGAGAACACUGAGACUCCCCAGUCCUGCCUGGGUGCUCCAGGCAGGUGCUUUAGCAUCCACAGCCAGAAACCAGGGGUAGAAAGAGGUAUCUGAAUCAUGUUCAUAGAAAAAGUAGAAAUCAUUAAUGUGUUCCACAAGUCUUUUCCUCCUACCUGUCUUUUCCUGUUAUAUUAUCACAUUCCUGGUGAAAAAAGAUUUUAGAAAAUCGGAACAGUAGUACCAGAUGGAUAGCUGCUAAUUUUGUUUAGAUUCUACAGUUGUAAGUGCUACAGGAAAAAAAAAAUGUAGGUGGAUAUAUAGACAGGUAGAGGACAGGAUGACCUACAUCAGCCUAUUAUCAUCAACCACUAAACAGAUCAUUAUAGCUUCCAAAACGUCUUCUAAAAUUCAGCCUUUAUUUUUAUAUUUGGUUAAAUACAUAUCCUGACAUUAACAUAAGUGCAUGUUAAUCCUAGAUUAUGUAAUACUGUCACUUCAUUGUGAUAAACCAGGAUUGUACUCAUAUACACAAAUACAAACGUCCAUGUGUAUUACUGUAUUUUUGAUGUCUGUUUUAGUUUGUAGUUUUACAUAUAGGAUAAAAGAAUAUCAUUGAUUUUCCCUAUUCAGGGUUGAAAGUUAAAUAGGUCAUAGAGUUCUGUGACCUAAAAAUGACAUCAGUUAUCAUCAGAAUCAGAAAUCUGAUGUGAAAAAUGAUGCUUUAAUGUAACUCCAGAACCAGACCCUUUUUUAGGAUAUUGUAGACACUCUCAACAGUUUUUUUCUCCUGGCUCUGAAUAUCUCACUGCAUCCUCUUAACACUUCACUUUGCAUCACCCACCAGAACAUGGAUGAUACCUCUUUCUUCUUCCUUGCUUAUUUCUGGAUGACCUUUCAUUUCUCUCUCUCUGUGAAUUAAAACUCCUUGGAAUUC
ensembl:lncRNA